rnacentral:rRNA from 1 species
GAUCCUGGCUCAGGAUGAACGCUAGCUACAGGCUUAACACAUGCAAGUCGAGGGGAAACGACAUCGAAAGCUUGCUUUUGAUGGGCGUCGACCUGCGCACGGGUGAGUAACGCGUAUCCAACCUGCCCAUCACUUGGGAAUAACCUUGCGAAAGUAAGACUAAUGCCCAAUGACAUCCCACGAAGGCAUCCGAAUGGGAUUAAAGAUUUAUCGGUGAUGGAUAGGGAUGCGU